rnacentral:miRNA from 1 species
CAACACAAACCCUGUGGGAGCGAGCCUGCUCGCGAAAGCGGUUGGUCAGUCAGCAAAAAUGCUGAACGGGCCGCCGCCUUCGCGAGCAGGCUCGCUCCCACAGGUUCGUGUUU